GUAAUGCAAUCUACCCUCAACAGGAGGAUAGCUCCCCGAAAGGGGAAUUAAGACUCCAUAAGAUCAUAGGGAGGCAUCUUCCAGUGAUUAAACUACCAGGGGUUGAGGAUGAGCAUGCGCAUGAUUAGUUAGUUGGCGGGGUAACGGCCCACCAAGACGAUGAUCAUUAGGGGAACUGAGAGGUUGAUCCCCCACACUGGCACUGAGAUACGGGCCAG
rnacentral:rRNA from 1 species